UUGAUUUAUUUGCUUGUGCCACUCAGAUGAUACCACGAAAUACACGAUGGUUUUUGGGCCUUCGGCGGGCGCCUGGUCCGGCCCUAGGGCGCGGGGCGUGGGCCGCCGAAGCAACGAUAGGUAGGUUCACAGGGGUUUGGGAGUUGUAAACUCGGUAAUGAUCCCUCCGCUGGUUCACCAACGGAGA
rnacentral:misc_RNA from 1 species